rnacentral:rRNA from 1 species
UACGGGGGGGGUAAGCGUUGUUCGGAAUUACUGGGCGUAAAGGGCUCGUAGGCGGCCAACUAAGUCAUACGUGAAAUCCCUCAGCUUAACUGGGGAACUGCGUGUGAUACUGGAUGGCUUGGAUUUGGGAGAGGGAUGCGGAAUUCCAGGUGUAGCGGUGAAAUGCGUAGAUAUCCUGAGGAACACCGGUGGCGAAAGCGGCGCGCUGGAUCCCUUCUGACGCUGAGGCGCGAAAGCCAGGGGAGCAAACGGG